rnacentral:rRNA from 1 species
AACGAACGCUGGCGGCAGGCUUAACACAUGCAAGUCGAACGCAUCCUUCGGGGUGAGUGGCAGACGGGUGAGUAACGCGUGGGAACGUGCCCUUCAGUUCGGGAUAACCCAGGGAAACUUGGGCUAAUACCGGAUACGUGCGAGAGCAGAAAGAUUUGUCGCUGAAGGAUCGGCCCGCGUCUGAUUAGCUAGUUGGUGGGGUAAUGGCCCACCAAGGCGACGAUCAGUAGCUGGUCUGAGAGGAUGAUCAGCCAAAUUGGGACUGAGACACGGCCCAAACUCCUACGGGAGGCAGCAGUGGGGAAUAUUGGACAAUGGGCGCAAGCCUGAUCCAGCCAUGCCGCGUGAGUGAUGAAGGCCUUAGGGUUGUAAAGCUCUUUCGUCCGGGACGAUAAUGACGGUACCGGAAGAAGAAGCCCCGGCUAACUUCGUGCCAGCAGCCGCAGUAA